UUUUUCACUUAAACAAAGUGCUCGUUUUGGCGUUCUUCCUACAGCAUUCUGUUCUCCCGGACAAAAGCUUAGGGCUGUGUAACUCCUCUGCCAUUUGUCGCCGUGUGCUGGUCGUCUGGUGAGUCGGUGACGCCGUCGGCUGCGAACGCCGUCUGCUGCUGCGCCGUCUCCAAUUAAAUAAAGUCAGAAGUCCUUAUUUAACCUAGGUUAUGUUUAAAAAUUCCGAUUGCCUUUGAGAUUGGACAAAGAUUGGAUUUCGUGAUUGCUGUGAAGAGGCAAUCCAGAUUCAAGUAAAGGGGAUUUGUCUUCAUAUGGGAUGUCGAGUAUUGCAAGAGCCAUUCCCAAUAACGAAUACUUCAAAGCAGCACAACAAUUGCUUGAUGAAGUUGUCAAUGUCCAGAAAACACUGAAGCAGCAUGAUAGGGAGAAGAACCAAAGCACACAUGAGCAUUGAGAUGAUGGAUCAAAGAAUGAACUCGAAAGUCAAGUAUCUUCAAACCCUCAAGACACAGCCAGUAACUCACAAUUUGAGCUUUCACAUGCUGAGAAACAAGAGUUGCAAAGCAAGUUGACGAAGCUUCUGUUUAUGUUAGAUGAGUAUGUCCUUAAUGUCCCCCAUAUGCUUAUGUACUCGGAUAGAACAUCAAGGUAUCAUUGUUAAUUGUUGAUGUGGGUGGAGAUGGAAAACCCCUUGGUUGGAGCCAAAGUUUCCAUAGUCACUCAAUUGCUCAGGAUAAGAUUUCUUGCGUGCUGGUCUAUUAAUUUAGGGGAUUUACAUCGCGAGCAGCUUUAGUUACUUCAAAAUUUGUACAACAAUAUCUUCUCUGAGUGUUUAUUUAUUUAUUUAGAAGUUUCUGGUUGUGUGUGUUUGUCGCUUGGGGACCUUUAUCUGGUAUUGGGAUAGAAUAUAAUUAUGUGGGGCUGUCUAAAUUCUAAAAGGUUAUUUGCUCAAUGUUAGGUGUUUUUGGGAACAAGAAAUGAUUAUUCUGUUGUUUUUAGAGUCUUAGGAAGCUGUGGUUCUUUGCGUUAUUCUGUACAUAAUACUUGAGUCUAUCUAUUCUAUAUAUUGGUAUGGUAUGAAACAACGAAUCUGUUUCACAUUUGAUAACUAUACUUUAUUUAGGGAAAGAGCUUAUUUCUUUUUGGGCUCCCUAAUGCACUACUAACUGCUCUAUUUAAUAGUUGAUUGUCACUGACCUUUCUUGCUGUCAAAUUGUACCUUCAUCUCUAGCUUUACGUUUAAACUACAUGAUAAAGGUUCCCCUUACUGAAAAGGUUGCACUAGAUCCAUGACAUCUCUGCACUAUUAAACCCUCUUUUAAUUUGAAUUUCAAUGAUAUUGGGAAAUUAUGAAUUCUCUGUUCCUUCCUAUAUGUGAUUGUAGUUCAUAAUUGAUUUGUGUUAUCUAGUUUCUUUUUUGUAUUUAGCACUUAUUAUUGGAAUCACUUCAGCUUUUGGAAUGUU